rnacentral:lncRNA from 1 species
UCUGUUAUGUCAAAUCCGAAAAUACCAGGCUUGAUUCGGCCAUCAAAAUCCAGAGGGUGUUCAGAGGUUUUCUGGUGCGGAAGAGCUUGAAGAAAGUUGUGGCGAUUGAGAGGGAAGUGAAUGAGAUAGAGAGGAGGCUUGCGAAUGAAGAGACGGUCGAUUUGGUUCGGAAGGAUGCUAAGGAGAGAAUUAGGUUUGGUGAGAUAUUGAUGAAUUUGCUGUUUAGGUUGGAUUCGGUGAAAGGCGUGGAUUCUGGAAUUAGGAAUUUGAGGAAAGCGGUGAUCAAGAAGGCUAUUGCGUUACAGGAGAAGAUUGAUUCAAUUGCUGCUGCGAAUGGAGCUACUAACGUGAUUUAUGAGACUCUCGAACCCGUUACUGCUAAAUGUGAUUCCGAAGCUGUUGAUCGCGAAUCUGCUGAUGAGUGUGAUGGCGAGAAUGCUGAUGGAGUAGAAGCGCCAAAGCCUGGAGCAAUUCUUGAGGAAUCUAAAGCUUGUUUUGUGGAAUCUAAUGUUGAUCCGGAAGUUCCUCAAGAAUCAGAGGAAGGGAAGAACUGUCCAGGAAAAGAUGACACGGAUCUUGAAGCGGCAGCGAGUGAAGAUGUGAGUCAGACGGAUUCAUCGAACAACCCACCAAAUUCAGACGAUGGGGUUGCAGAAUGUGGGUCUGUAGAUGAAAGAGAGAGUGGUGCAAAUGAAGAGGAUGAUAGCAGAAUCGAAGAAAGAGAGGGGGAUGGGCAGAGUAGAGAGAUUCUUGAAAGGAUGAUGAUGGACAACAAAAGAAUGAUGGAGAUGAUGGCGCAGCUGUUUGAAAAGAAUGAAAAGCAGUCACAAUUGCUAUUCUCACUGUCUCAAAGGGUUGAGAGGUUAGAAAAGACACU